CAGCAAGUAAACAUCAUCUUCCUGCUUAGGUAUUUAUUAUUGCUGAGUAGAUCUUCAUUGUGUCUGUGUUUGGGUAGUAUUUUCCAAGUGGGAAUUGAAACACAUGAAAACCCACCGUGUUUCUAUGAUUUUUUUUCCCAAAGUAUCAAACAAAUAUGCUACUCUUUUAGAUGGUUUCACCCCUCCUUUUAAACUUUAGUUGAGUAUUUCCGAACAAGAUUUUGUUAACAAACAUAAACAAGGAAACAGUAAUUUCUCUUUAUAUGUUAAGUACAGAUAGCCUCUAUUAAUUUAGUUCUAUUUAGUAAGUCUAAGUUUUUCCUUAUCCAAAUAAUAACUUCCACAUUUAUGAAACAAGGAUGAAGACUUAUUUUUGUGUUAUUUGAAUGGCUACUUUGCAUUUGAUUUGGCUUCUCAGUUAUCCAAGCUGCUGUUACAGGGGUUUCUCCUCAGUAACUGCUUUCCUGCCUAUGUUAGGUUGAGUGUUUUGAAUUGGUAAAUUAUGGUGGAAGUGUAACCAAAAGCUUGGUCCCUGUCCCCAAUGCCAACCAAUACCAAUUUAAUAAUGAGGACACAAUUUUGAGAAAAAAGGUAAAAGAAGGUUUAUUGCUUUACUAGCAAAGGAGAAACACAAGGGAAUCCUGUCCCAAAGGCUGUGACACUCCUGAUCAAGAGGGACAGGGGGGUUUUAAAGGAACUUUUCAAGAGUUACAUUCUAGUAGGGGGGUCCUAGGUCACCCAGUUAGCUUGUUAGAAUUCAUUUGUUAAUUUGGGAGAUGUUCAUUUCCCAGAUCUUCAGCAGGCUUCUCCUUCCUGUAGUGGGCUUGUUCAAGGGGAAGAAAAGAUAACACUGUCUCCCUAGUCUUGUUGGGGAGAGGGGAGAAGAGAGAAAGAAAUAUUUUUUUUAAAAAGUAAACCUUAGAGCAUUGAAGGCUAUAUUCACAAGGCGAAGGGGCCACUGUUACAGAAGACUCUAAGGAGAGAAACUGAGCUCUCUGUUACAGAGUCAUAUCUCAAAGCUGCAAAGAAAAAAACCUCAAGCAAACCUGCCCCCACGUUUGGCAGUGAAGGAGCUGAAAUGAACC
rnacentral:lncRNA from 1 species